GGAGAGGUGUCCGAGUGGUUGAAGGAGCCGGUCUCGAAAACCGGUAAACCCGCAAGGGUUUCGUGAGUUCGAAUCUCACCCUCUCCG
rnacentral:tRNA from 1 species